rnacentral:rRNA from 1 species
AUUGAACGCUGGCGGCAUGCCUUACACAUGCAAGUCGAACGGCAGCACGGGUGCUUGCACCUGGUGGCGAGUGGCGAACGGGUGAGUAAUACAUCGGAACGUACCUUAUCGUGGGGGAUAACGCAGCGAAAGUUGCGCUAAUACCGCAUACGCCCUGAGGGGGAAAGCGGGGGACCGUAAGGCCUCGCGCGAUUAGAGCGGCCGAUGUCUGAUUAGCUUGUUGGUGAGGUAAAAGCUCACAAAGGCGAUGAUCAGUAGCUGGUCUGAGAGGACGAUCAGCCACACUGGGACUGAGACACGGCCCAGACUCCUACGGGAGGCAGCAGUGGGGAAUUUUGGACAAUGGGGGCAACCCUGAUCCAGCAAUGCCGCGUGAGUGAAGAAGGCCUUCGGGUUGUAAAGCUCUUUUGUCAGGGAAGAAACAGCAGCUCUAACACAGACUGCGAAUGACGGUACCUGAAGAAUAAGCACCGGCUAACUACGUGCCAGCAGCCGCGGUAAUACGUAGGGUGCGAGCGUUAAUCGGAAUUACUGGGCGUAAAGCGUGCGCAGGCGGUUAUACAAGACAGGCGUGAAAUCCCCGGGCUUAACCUGGGAAUGGCGUCUGUGACUGUAUAGCUAGAGUGUGUCAGAGGGGGGUGGAAUUCCACGUGUAGCAGUGAAAUGCGUAGAUAUGUGGAGGAACACCAAUGGCGAAGGCAGCCCC